AUACAGUGGGUGCGAGCGUUAAUCGGAAUUACUGGGCGUAAAGCGCGCGUAGGCGGUUAUUUAAGUCAGAUGUGAAAUCCCUGGGCUCAACCUAGGAACUGCAUCUGAAACUGGGUAACUAGAGUUUAGGAGAGGGGAGUAGAAUUUCGGGUGUAGCGGUGAAAUGCAUAGAGAUCCGAAGGAAUACCAGUGGCGAAGGCGACUCCCUGGCCUAGAACUGACGCUGAGGUGCGAAAGCGUGGGUAGCAAACGGGAUUAGAAACCCUAGUAGUCC
rnacentral:rRNA from 1 species